UGGGGAAUUUUGGACAAUGGGCGAAAGCCUGAUCCAGCAAUGCCGCGUGUGUGAAGAAGGCCUUCGGGUUGUAAAGCACUUUUGUCCGGAAAGAAAUCCUUGGCUCUAAUACAGUCGGGGGAUGACGGUACCGGAAGAAUAAGCACCGGCUAACUACGUGCCAGCAGCCGCGGUAAUACGUAGGGUGCAAGCGUUAAUCGGAAUUACUGGGCGUAAAGCGUGCGCAGGCGGUUUGCUAAGACCGAUGUGAAAUCCCCGGGCUCAACCUGGGAACUGCAUUGGUGACUGGCAGGCUAGAGUAUGGCAAAGGGGGGUAGAAUUCCACGUGUAGCAGUGAAAUGCGUAGAGAUGUGGAGGAAUACCGAUGGCGAAGGCAGCCCCCUGGGCCAAUACUGACGCUCAUGCACGAAAGCGUGGGGAGCAAACAGGAUUCAGAUACCCUGGUAGUCCACGCCCUAAACGAUGUCAACUAGGUUGUUGGGGGAUUCAUUUCCUUAGUAACGUAGCUAACCGC
rnacentral:rRNA from 1 species